GAUGAACGCUGGCGGCGUGCCUAAUACAUGCAAGUCGAGCGAACAGACGAGGAGCUUGCUCCUCUGACGUUAGCGGCGGACGGGUGAGUAACACGUGGAUAACCUACCUAUAAGACUGGGAUAACUUCGGGAAACCGGAGCUAAUACCGGAUAAUAUAUUGAACCGCAUGGUUCAAUAGUGAAAGACGGUUUUGCUGUCACUUAUAGAUGGAUCCACGCCGCAUUAGCUAGUUGGUAAGGUAACGGCUUACCAAGGCGACGAUGCGUAGCCGACCUGAGAGGGUGAUCGGCCACACUGGAACUGAGACACGGUCCAGACUCCUACGGGAGGCAGCAGUAGGGAAUCUUCCGCAAUGGGCGAAAGCCUGACGGAGCAACGCCGCGUGAGUGAUGAAGGUCUUCGGAUCGUAAAACCCUGUUAUUAGGGAAGAACAAAUGUGUAAGUAACUAUGCACGUCUUGACGGUACCUAAUCAGAAAGCCACGGCUAACUACGUG
rnacentral:rRNA from 1 species